rnacentral:rRNA from 1 species
UACGUAGGGUGCGAGCGUUAAUCGGAAUUACUGGGCGUAAAGCGUGCGCAGGCGGUUUUGUAAGUCAGAUGUGAAAUCCCCGGGCUCAACCUGGGAACUGCGUUUGAAACUACAAGGCUAGAGUGUAGCAGAGGGGGGUAGAAUUCCACGUGUAGCAGUGAAAUGCGUAGAGAUGUGGAGGAAUACCGAUGGCGAAGGCAGCCCCCUGGGAUAACGACUGACGCUCAUGCACGAAAGCGUGGGGAGCAAACAGG